UACGGAGGAUGCGAGCGUUAUCCGGAUUUAUUGGGUUUAAAGGGUGCGUAGGUUGUUUUUUAAGUCAGCGGUGAAAGUUUGUGGCUCAACCAUAAAAUUGCCGUUGAAACUGGGGGGCUUGAGUAUGUUUGAGGCAGGCGGAAUGCGUGGUGUAGCGGUGAAAUGCAUAGAUAUCACGCAGAACCCCGAUUGCGAAGGCAGCGUACCGGCGCCAGACUGACGCUGAGGCACGAGAGCAUGGGUAGCGAACAGG
rnacentral:rRNA from 1 species